rnacentral:rRNA from 1 species
AGAAUCAACGCUGGCGGCGUGCCUCAGACAUGCAAGUCGAACGCGAAAGUCCCCUUCGGGGGACAAGUAGAGUGGCGCACGGGUGAGUAACACGUAGGUAAUCUACCUUUGGAUGGGGAAUAACAACCGGAAACGGUUGCUAAUACCGCAUGAUGCAGCGGCACCUAAUGGUGACAGUUGUUAAAGCGGGGGAUCGAAAGACCUCGCGUCUGAAGAGGAGCCUGCGGCGGAUUAGGCUAGUUGGUAAGGUAAUGGCUUACCAAGGCUACGAUCCGUAACC